rnacentral:lncRNA from 1 species
UGACAGAUUGAGGAAAAAAACGGGACAAGCCCGAGCUCUCCCCCUCCCUUUUCUUUUUCUUUCGCCGCCAGCCCUCUUCCACCAAAAAUUGACGUCGUCCGGCCACCUCCGUGCACACCGCUCACCAUGGCAUGAUCCUCCCUCCCUCCUUUACCUAGAUAUCUUGUUUUGAGCUGUGGAGGAAGAAUUCAAGGUGAUUGGGGACGUGAACAGUAGCAUGAACAGUUGCAUCCGCGUUCUUGAGUUUGGGUUUGAAAUUCCGGCUUUUUCUGCUUGUGUUGGUUGUUGUUGCAGGACGUACUGAGCCCUCGAGCGAGGAGGACACAGGCAGGCAGCAGGGUUAGCU